GCAUUGGUGGUUCAGUGGUAGAGUUCUUGCCUUCUAUGCAGGAGACCCGGGUUUGAUUCCCGGUCAAUGCA
rnacentral:tRNA from 2 species